rnacentral:rRNA from 1 species
GACGAACGCUGGCGGCGUGCUUAACACAUGCAAGUCGAACGAUGAACCCGGAGCUUGCUCCGGUGGAUUAGUGGCGAACGGGUGAGUAACACGUGAGUAACCUGCCCUUGACUCUGGGAUAACUGCGGGAAACUGUAGCUAAUACCGGAUACGACCCUCGGCGGCAUCGCCAGGGGGUGGAAAGAAUUUCGGUCAAGGAUGGACUCGCGGCCUAUCAGCUGGUUGGUGAGGUAACGGCUCACCAAGGCGACGACGGGUAGCCGGCCUGAGAGGGUGACCGGCCACACUGGGACUGAGACACGGCCCAGACUCCGACGGGAGGCAGCAGUGGGGAAUAUUGCACAAUGGGCGCAAGCCUGAUGCAGCAACGCCGCGUGAGGGAUGACGGCCUUCGGGUUGUAAACCUCUUCAGCAUCGACGAAGCGAAAGUGACGGUAGGUGCAGAAGAAGGACCGGCCAACUACGUGCCAGCCGCCGCGGUAA